ACCAAAAAAAGGGUUCCAUUUAGAGCCCUUGGAGGGCAAAGAACCAUUUUUAUUAAAAUGGUUCUAUAAUUCACGUUUGUGACUGAAGUGUAAACUAAAGAUUACACAAUAAUUACAGACCUACACAACUCAUUCACAAACCUUUUUGUUUCAAUAGGCUGUGGUCAAAUAAAGAGAGAGUCAACAAAUAGGCUAUUCAUAUUUAUUGUAUGAUUUAUUUCCUGUGAGCUUUUUUAUGCAAGUUUGUACAUUAGCAUAAAACUUACAGUGCAGUUUGCGUUUUUGGUGAAUAACCAGGUGUUUUAUUUAUAUUUGUACAUUCUAUAUUGUCAAUGUUUAAUUUAACCUGAAGGGGCAUUUAAAACAAAUAAUGGCAAAAGUGCCCUCUGGUGGCGUAUAUAUGCGUUGCACCAUAAGCGAAGAUGAGCCUCCAGACGUGACAGUUUUUUUUCUUUUCAAACUGAGGAGUUCGGACUCCGGACUGGCAUUUCUGCUUGUUGGUACCCUGAGAUUAAAUUGCCAAUCACAAUAAGACAGCUGUGUGUUGUAAGGAGACGAAUGAAGCGCGUGGUCAAGGGAACCGGGUGGAAGGGAAAUGAUAUAUAAAUGUUUGUCGCAGUUUUACACAUAUUCCAUAACCAUGGUUAAUAAAUGGUCAGUAGAUGACACGUCACUGGCUUUAAAAUAUAAACCCCAUUGAUGCAAAAAGAUGCUGCAUGGAAUGACAAUGAGGUUUGGAACAGACUUGGUGAAGAACAUGGAAACAUCUCUAAAUAACAUGGCCCCAACCAUCAUCAGGAGUGCAAAAGAAUGAAGUAAAAAACAUCUCUACGCGAAUCUCAUUGGAACAGCAGAGGAAACCACAGAAGGUCUGGUGAGGAAUGCUGCACUUAUGUUAUUGCAAGCAUUAUUUUAAGAAAAUCCCAGCUUCCUUUGCUGUGUAAAUAGUGAACCCGAAGGUCCCACACCAACCAUAGUGUUCAACGGCUCUCCUGAUCCUCUCAAAUCUCAAAGUAUCAACUUUAUAAUGGACAAUGUGAACAUAAUAUGUGGAAGACAUUGACAUCACAGGCUGUGGAAUGACUGUUUGCGGGUUUUUUUCUCUUCAAUGUUCAAUACCCUUUUGCCAUUAAGCACACAGUGACUUUAAUUUAUAAAAUAUAUGCUUAAAUUUAAAUACCUGUACAAAACAAAUGUACAAUCAACUUGUGUAAAUUGUCAUUCUAUUUAAUAGAUUGUUCAUGAAUUGUCUUUAAAUGCAUUGUGAUUUCUUUUCAUCAUUUCAGAAACAUGUAAAAGUUACUAAAAAUUAGUACUGCAUAUACUGUACAGUAUCUUUGUUUAUAAAAACAGAAAAUGCGUAAGGGAAAUAACUUGAACAAAAUUUUUGAAUGUAUAGUGUAAUUAAGAGUUUAGCUGUUUAAUACAGAGAUGCAAUUUUUAUAUAUAUAUAUAUAUAUAUAUAUAUAAACGCAUGUAUGUUUAUAAAAAAGUGAAAAUGCUUAGUGGAAAUAAUUAAAUAACUAAAUGGUUGAAUGAAAUGAGACAUUUUAAAUGUAAACUAAAUGUUUUGCUGUCUAAUACAGAAUAAAGAGAUGUGAUUUUAAGUAAUUUUUAUAGAUUUAUAUUUCUGUAUAAUACAAUUAAUAAAUAGUAAACUUUUAUAAUUUUCUGGAUCGGUUAUAAUUUCUUAUCAAUAAUAAAUUCCUCAUAAUUAUAAAGAACCUUUAAUGGUUCUAAAUAGAACCAUCUAACUUUGUUUCAAAGAACCAUUUGGGGUUCUUUUUAAUGAACCCAUUAAAGUGGUUCUAUAUUGAACCAUUUGGGGGUUCCAUAUAUGAAGCGGGUGAU